rnacentral:sRNA from 1 species
UGGUUUUGAAUUUCUCCCACAUUUGUUCUUGACGAUGAAUAGGCGCUCGCUUUUGUCAAAGAUUCGGAACAAAGCUCUCUCCCCAUCAAAGAGGUACCCAACACCUUCUUCGCAUGCGGCAACUCGAGGACCUUCUGAACCAUCACUCUUGGGGUCGAGUAGGAGACAUCAAACAAGUUUCGAGAUUGAUCAUAGUGAAUCGAGCCAAGAGGAGGAAGUGAUGGAAGAAGAAGAGACCUUCAGCUCUCCAGCUAGAAAUACUCGAUCCCGAAAGUCGAGUAAGUCUUCUACAAGAGUCAAGCUUAGUGACUUAAAACAAGCUCACUUGGGAGGAAGUCCCAUGUCUAUCCGUGUAAAUAACUUUCUAUUUUUCUUGUUAUUUUUGAUGUUUUUGUUUAAGUGUUUCAGGUUUGUUUUAGUGACCCUAAGGGAGUCAACGGUCGAGUACAUUCAAAUCAAGUCAAGAAAUCUCAAUUGUUGAUCGAGUAGAAUGAGGAGGAGUAUUUUUAGCCGUUGGUUUGGAUGACCAAAUCAGAGGAGCAUCACCACCGUUUGAUCGAGUAACUUCUUGAGGUUCAUUCUGGGCCGUUUGAUCAAGCAAUUAAUGCUGGAGCGUUUCUCACCGUCCGAUCGAGUGAAGAAACCAAAGAGUCCCUCUUCGUAGACACUGACGCCUCGUGACCCCCCCCCCCUCCAUUGAAACGUUGCUGUCCCUUUGUCCUCUUGCCCCCCCCCCUCAUAAUCACUUUGGUCCCCCUAUUGCGAUUCCCGAACUCAACAACCUCAUCUCUCCAACUCCCAUCAUUCUCGAAUCCUUACAAUUCUCUCUUUAUCUCCUUCACUUCCCUUUCUUAUCAAAAACUUUUUGCAAUCCAUUUGUUUCCUCCAUCAUUCAAUCUCCUAACCUACGGAAUUUUGGUUUUGAGUUUCUCUCAUUUUGUUCUCAAUAAUGAACCGGAGCUCGAUUUUGUCAAGGAUUCGGAACAAAGCUCUCUCCCCAUCGAAGAGGUACCCAACACCUUCUUCGCAUGCAGCAGCUCGAGGACCUUCUGAACCGUCACCUUUGGGGUCGAGCAGGAGAGAACAAGCAAGUUUUGAGCUCGAUGAUAGUGAAUCAAGCAAAGAGGAGGAAGUGAUGCAGGAAGAGACCUUCAGCUCUCCAGCUGGAAAUACUCGAUCCCGAAGGUCGAUUAAGUCCUCUAAAAGGGAAUUCUCGAGGAACAAGGCAGAUAUCACUCAAGGGAUGAAGCCCGUGGGGAGGAGGUUGGAGCUGGUAGAUGAAGACUCCGAGGAAGAUAUGGCUUCACCAGAGGAAGAUGAUCAAACGGAGAAAGGAGGCGAUGAUGAUAUGGAAUCGGAGAAGUGUGCACCUCGAAAUAAGUACUACAAGCUGCUGAAGCGCAAUGAGUUUUUAGGAACUCGAUACCCUCAUCCCGAGACCAUGGAGAGACUCGACAUCUAUGAUGAUGUAGACUACAUGUUUAAACAGUGCAGCCUGAAUAUUCACAUGUUUCGGCCAAUGGAGGGGUAUGAGGAAGAGACCAUUCAGUUUAUUUCAUCCGUGGAAUUGCUCUUAUAUGGAGAGUCAGAGGACGAUUAAAUCAGGCCAGACGAAUGUUUAGGAUACUUGGAGUUCUGUGUGUAUGACGUAGAGUAUCGGCUUCCAAUAGAGCAUCUCGAGCUGAUGUAUGGAUUUCCAAGCGGAAAAGACACAAGUCAUCGUUUUGACAAGAGAGAGCUUCAGUCAUUCUGGGCCACACUUGGUUCUAAGCAUGGAUUUUUAUCCUCCAGGACCAAGAGCAACGAGAUAAGGAGUCCGGUGGUUAGAUACUUUCAUAGGUCCUUGGCAAGUGCACUAUUUGCAAGAGAGCAGAAUGGAACCUUUGUCCUUGGAGAACUAGAGUUGAUUGAGACAGCACUACAAGAGUUGCUUGGUUUAGCAUCGAAUGGUACAGUUCUAGCUGGAGAUCAGACAAACACUUCGGUCUCAUUCGACCUAAUCGAGCACCUGCUGAGUUACAGAGGAUGGGCUAAAGGACUUAAGAAAUCAGGAAGAAUGGUUGUGGAAGGAGUUGUAACACCAAUUCUGAGAGCUUGCAAUGUACCUCUACAUUCAACGCUGAUUCCUCCGAGAUGGAUUGAUAUGCAAUACCUUAUCAAUUCCAAGAGUUUUUGGUCGCAGCAGAAGAAUGGCCUAUAUAAGUAUAGGUUUAAUCACCCCACAGUAGGAGAAUCCAUUUUUCUCCUCCCAAACCCUGCUUCCACUUCGAUUAGAGAUGGUGGCAAUAUUGAGUUUUGCCCACCAAUGGAGAACCUCUAUAUUUCGGGAGAUGAAGCUGUGCCGAUGGAAGGAGUGAAUGAUGAUGAGGCUCCAAUCCAUCAUUCUAAUAAUGAAGAAGAACUUAUGGACGAGUCUUACGCUACACAACAGUUUUACUUUGAGGAGUACUCAACACCAAGGCAAACUAAAGACUCAAAGGAGAUUCACAAGCGCCUUGGUUUCCUCCAAAGCUGGUGUAAUUUCCAGGACAUGGCUCUCAUAUCACUCAACAAGAAGUUUAACAAUCUACAACUCAAGAUCAGCUGUUCUUCCACAACUACAUGUGGAGAGUCCAGAACCCUAAGGACUAUGCUACUGCUAAUGCUAUCACCAUCCACCAAGAAGAUGAGUCUCCACCAAGUCAUCAGACUCUCAAUACUGAGGACGGUAUGAUUCAAGAGAGGGGGGGAUUCAACUCAAAUUGCUGCAUCUGCCACCCAGCAAUUCAUCUGGACUAUAGAGCACACACCUUUGCUGAACACUUACCAUUCUCGAAAAAAGCUCAAGAAAGAGCAAAAUCAAGAGAUGAUUAGCAGUGCCUCCACUCAAGAAACAUACAAGAAGAAAGUCAUCCAAUAAAAGCUUGAUGAUCCCGGUUCAUUCACCCUGCCAUGCUCUCUACGACCAUUGACAUUCAACAGGUGCCUUUGUGAUCUGGGAGCAUCUGUUAGCUUUAUGCCUCUCUCUACAGCUAAAAGGCUAGGGAUCAUGGAAUUCAAGUUCUGCAACUUAGCCUUACUCUUAGCUGAUGGUUCUGUUGCACAUCCUCAUGGUCUAGUAGAAAAUCUGCUUGUUAAGAUUGUAAAUAUUGAGAUACCUACAGACUUUGUGGUAUUGGACGUAGAUGAAGAAGGCAAGGAUCCCUUGAUCCUAGGCAGACCAUUCUUAGCUUCAGGUGGAGCAGUCAUAGAUGUUAGGAAUGGAAAAAUUAAUCUGAACCUUGAAAAAGGUAUCAAGAUGAAGUUUGACAUCAGAGAAGCUUCAAAGAAAUCAACAACAGGAGGUCAGAUUUUUGGAAUUAAAGAUAUGGAUGUUGAUGAAGAAACAGAAGCUGAAACCUCACCAAAAGUCAAUUAUACUUCUCAACUUAGCAAGCUUAAGAGAACUUUUGACCCCAAGAAGAGAGCUACAGAUAGGCUAUUUCAGACUGAAGAUCCUAUAGAAGAUGACUGGUAUGAGAUGAAAAA